CAAAAACAUGGAAGUAUAAUUUUCGUAAGAAUGUAUAUUCGCUGUUUUUAUGUAGUGUUAUUGAUAAGGGCUGCUUUGGUCUAUAGAACGUCCACUUGUCUGAAUGAUAAUGAAGAAUACUCGCUCUGUGGCUGGAAAUGUCCGCCGACGUGUGUCAAUUUGAAAUAUCUGGUUAUGCCCGGUGCGGCGUGCUACUUCAAGUGGGAGUGUAAGGUUGGCUGUAGAUGUUCGGCUGGCUUCAUCAGAGAUGAAUACAGCAAGAAGUGUGUCACGGUCCACAUGUGUCCCACCUUCCAGGACUGUCCCCCUGGUGAAGUAAUGGGCAGAAAUCUGCUGUGUAUUCCACGACGGAGCGUUCACUUUAUUAAUUUAUCACAUUGGGAGUACUAUGGAGAAUAUAAUUAAAAAUAUUUUAUGAUGUGAAAUAAAAGGGUUUUAGUUAUAUGUCAGUGAAAAAAAUAAAACAAAUGAGAAAUAAGGUUUUAGGUUACUGUUUGUUGUUUAGUUUCACAUUAUUAAUUUAAUUUAUCAGUGAUAAAAAGUUAAUCCUAGAUACAGAAGCUGUCCCGUAAAGAUUUGUAUAUACGCUGCUAAAUAUAUCCAUUUACCAUUUUCCAAUGUCAUGGAAAUAUUACUUCCCACCUCAUUGUUAUUAUCACUUACCUCAGUAGUUUAUGAACUUAAUCCGUGUUAAAAUUUAUCUGGUGCAAAUGAAAUCCCAAUGUGUUUGGAAAAUGUCGUAGUUUGCAUAUCUUACUAAUUGAAUCCUUUACUAAAUAUAAAAGCAUCUCACAGAAGAAUUAUAAUUAAACAUGUUUAAAAUUCCAUAACAAAAAGAAACUCUUAGUAAUUGUAUGUUUGGAUGUGAUCAUUAAUCAGUAAAAAUAAAUCUAUUUAUAUAUUUUCGAAUAACUACGAGUUUUUUAUUAUUUUAAACUACAUAUUCCCGACGAUUCGGUAACUUAGGUCUUCCCGUGAUCACGGUUGCUGCAUAGUAACUAAACGUCGGGAGUAUGUCAUUUUAGAUGAAAAAAUAACGCGUAAUAAUGCGAAAAUACUAGUUUUGUUUAAAUGAAUAUUCGCGAAAGUCUUAGAUUUCAUUAUUAAUCAGUUUGUUUUUCUAUACAUUUACACUUUCUAUUUAAAUGUAUACAAACAAUAUGCAUACGUGCGAUAGGGCACGCUCUUGAGGUAUAGUUUUUAAUGUGUUACAGUGAUUAUAAAACGUUGUUAUAUAAUUUAUUAGUGAUGUACUUAUAAAAAACUUAUUAUCUAUAUCAAGUGGGAAUUACAAGUAUAUGCUAUAGAAUAUAAAACAGCAUAGUGAUUACUAUUGAAAGAUAGGUGAAUGUAUAAGAGCUUGCGUGAAUUGAAUCCACGUGUUUUUAAUUAAUUCACAAACACUUUAUAUUACUAGGUACUGCAUUUGUUUAUCAUUCCAGUAAAUGAUCGAAAACAAAACAACGAUUGAUUGCUACUGCAAUAUACGUAGUAUCUUCUUUAGAUCAAAAGAUUACAAAGAAAAAAGAUAAGUCUUGAUUGAAAGCGACAAAUACGUUGUUAUUAAUUAUUUAUACUACAUGUAUGCAGGAAUGAAUAUAUUACCAUUCAUUUGAAUAAGUAAAUAUAUUUUAAUAAGAUUUAUAUAUUACCAAGUCCACGUAUUACAAUUUGUAAUUAAAAUUUUUCAAUUUUUGUUCGUCUUGCAACGGUUUUUCCUCAGCCGGUUAAUUGAAUGCGUCACAUCUAUACUGCGAAGCGUGUCGUCAUGUUUGUACACAACAUAUGCGUCAAAGUGUGACGGAACAUGGGUAUAAGAAGCCAAGCCCACCAGCCUGGCCAGGGUUCGGUUCCUACGUGACGUAGACGACGCAGCUGAUAACAUUUGAUUAUAUAAAACCGGGCGCGGUGCUCAGCGUCGCAAAUAAAGCAUAUUGUUUGGACGAAAACAUCGUGAAAAUGGCUUUUAGAAUAUUUUUAUCGCUAGUUUUAACGUGUGGAAUUUUAGUUUGCCAAGCGAGACACAUUCAUCCUGGUAACGAUGGUGGGAAUUUGUAUAGAAUUGAGACUGUUAACGAUGAACCAAUUAACAUACUCCAAACAUUGAAACCGACGAGGUUUGUCCCAUUGAAUUCGCCGCAGUUCUUCAAGAUCUCUGAACCUUGUAAGGACGGCUACAAACGAGACGCCAUGGGUAUAUGUAGAGAGGUGUGGGAUUAACAAACAUAAUAUUAGAAUUAAUUUUUUCAUUAUAAUUGAAGACUUGUGAUAUUAGUUUUAAGAAACUCGUAGUGUUCCUAAGUAAACCAUUUUUAUAUAACCUGCAAACAUUUUCGUUUGUAAAUAGUAUUAUAUAAUAUUGAUUAUGUAUUGAUAAAAUUAUUAUUUAAUAAGUUCUUAAUAAAACAUUAAAAUAUAAACAAUUAUUUAUUAAAAA